AUCGUCUCCACCUCCCACGCGCGUCAAACGCCCGAGAAUACGGUCGCCAUCCCGCAAUCCGCCAAUCCGCCCCUCUCCCAGCGCCGAUGUCCCUCACAAUCGUCGCCCUGGCCGCAGUAGCGCCUCCCCCUCCCCAAGCCUGGCUAUUGCUCCCUGAGCCGGCCGGCUGCAGAUCGCCUCGCCGCAACGCAAGCGCGUGAUUUCCUCCCCCUCCCCCACGCGAACGCGAUCUCCUCCCCUUCCGAAGAUUGGGGAAACGCAAGCCUGCAAGUGUGGAGGCAUCCAUCCGCCUGACGUUGCAGCCGUCGGCGCGGACGCCGCUGAUCCCGAGUCGACACCAACCAGGCCACUGGCUGAUCUACUUCCAAGCUCAUGCGCGUGAGCAGAUAUCUUCCUCUCCGGAAAUUGAUUUGGGACGAAAUUGAUGGAUUACUAAUGGUUGUUGCAACAGGGUAAUUUGCCCUCAAUCUGAGGUGCAUUGCGUGUUGUUCAGUGCAAUUCGAAACCAGAUAAUUUCUUGAUUUUUCAAAAUGCACCUUCUGCUGUAACAGCAGUAAAAAAUGCUGGAAUGUGAUUGGCCAUUACAUGUACAUAUGUGUAAAAAAUAAAGAUGCACCUUGGUAUUUAAUAUUUCUUGAACUUCCAUUCUCCUUUUUCUUUCUUUCUUCUUCUUAUUUAUUAUUUAUUAUAUUUUACUUUUUGCAUAGAGCAGCAAACUGAUAAUAAUCAGUGCUUGGCUACUUGGUACCUUCUGAAUAUUUACUAUGUGGUUCGUGAGAUUGGUAAUAUGUUCCAUCAAUGAAUGACUAGGCUUCAAGGCUAAGAGGGCAGAUGACGAAUGUAGUGAUAUAUGUAGCUGCCUACGAGCUAAUAUUAUUGACCUUUGGGCUUUGGAUUAGAACUGUAAUAAAUAAAGUAUCAAUUGAUUAUGUAAACAUUUCUUCUCGUUGUUGGCA